CGUAGGGUGCAAGCGUUAAUCGGAAUUACUGGGCGUAAAGCGUGCGCAGGCGGUUAUGUAAGACAGGUGUGAAAUCCCCGGGCUUAACCUGGGAACUGCAUUUGUGACUGCAUAGCUAGAGUACGGUAGAGGGGGGAUGGAAUUCCGCGUGUAGCAGUGAAAUGCGUAGAUAUGCGGAGGAACACCGAUGGCGAAGGCAAUCCCCUGGACCUGUACUGACGCUCAUGCACGAAAGCGUGGGGAGCAAACAGGAUUAGAUACCCUGGUAGUCCACGCCCUAAACGAUGUCAACUGGUUGUUGGGUCUUCACUGACCCAGUAACGAAGCUAACGCGUGAAGUUGACCGCCUGGGGAGUACGGCCGCAAGGUUG
rnacentral:rRNA from 1 species